rnacentral:piRNA from 1 species
UGGAUUUCUGAUUGGUCAGUUGCUAC